rnacentral:rRNA from 1 species
ACGAACGCUGGCGGCGCGCUUAACACCUGCAAGUCGAACGGAAAGGCCUGCUUUCCCUUGUGGAUUGCGGGUACUCGAGUGGCGAACGGGUGAGUAACACGUGAGUGAUCUGCCCCCAACUUGGGUAUAAGCCUGGGAAACUGGGUCUAAUUCCCGAUAGGACUGCAGGGUGGUGCCUGUGGUGGAAAACGAUUUUCUAGUGGUUGGGGAUGAGCUCGCGGCCUAUCAGCUUGUUGGUGGGGUAAUGGCCUACCAAGGCGGCGACGGGUAGCCGGCCUGAGAGGGUGGACGGCCACAUUGGGACUGAGAUACGGCCCAGACUCCUACGGGAGGCAGCAGUGGGGAAUAUUGCACAAUGGGCGGAAGCCUGAUGCAGCGACGCCGCGUGGGGGAUGACGGCCUUCGGGUUGUAAACUCCUUUCGACCGCGAGGAAGCCACCUGGUUGGAAGGGUGGUGACGGUAGUGGUAGAAGAAGCACCGGCUAACUACGUG